rnacentral:tRNA from 1 species
UCCCUGAUGGCUCAGAUGGUAAAGCAUCUGCCUGCAAUGCGGGAGACCGGGGUUCAAUCCCUGGGUUGGGAA